rnacentral:rRNA from 1 species
AGGGCGUAUGGUGGAUGCCUUGGCAGACAGUACCGAUGAAGGACGUUUGAGGCUGCGAUAUGCCUCGGGGAGCCGCCAGCAGGGCUUUGAUCCGAGGAUUUCCGAAUGGGGGAACCCGCCGGCCGUCAUGGGCCGGCACCGCGUUCGCGCGGGGGGUACGCAGGGAAGUGAAACAUCUCAGUACCUGCAGGAAAGGAUGUUCCGUGAGUAGUGGCGAGCGAAAGCGGAUCAGGCCAAACCGCGCGCGUGUGACAGGCGCCAGCCGUUGCGCGCGUGGUGUUGAGGGAGCGUGUGUCCGGGUCCUGGCGGGCCCGGCCGGAGUGAUAAAACGGCGUGUGAGGCGAACCGGAUUGAAUGCCGGGCCGCAGAGGGUGAUGGCCCCGUAGCCGAACGCGCGUCGUCUCCGGAUCGUGUCUCCCAAGUAGCGCGGGACUCGUGGAAUCCCGUGUGAAUCCGCCCCGACCGUGGGGUAAGCCUAGAUAUACCUGUCUGACCGAUAGCGAACUAGUACCGUGAGGGAAAGGUGAAAAGCACCCCGGGAGGGGAGUGAAACAGUCUCUGAAACCGUGCGCUUACAAACCGUCGGAGCCUUUCGGGGUGACGGCGUGCCUAUCGAAAAAUGAGUCUGCGAGUCAGUGGCACGUGGCGAGCGUAACCCGUGUGGGGUACGCGUAGCGAAGGCGAGUCUCAAAAGGCGUUUGAGUCGCGUGUCCUGGACCCGAAGCGGGAUGAUCUAGCCCUGAGCAGGUUGAAGCGCGGGUAAGACCGCGUGGAGGACCGAACCCACCUGGGUUGAAAACCGGGGGGAUGACUUGGGGUUAGGGGUGAAAGGCCAAUCAAAUUCCGUGAUAGCUGGUUCUCUCCGAAAUGCAUUUAGGUGCAGCGUCGGGGAUUACGUCCGGGGGGUAGAGCUACUGGAUGCUUGAGGGCCCGUAUCGGGUACCGACAGCAGCCAAACUCCGAAUACCCGUGACGCGUAUCCCGGCAGUGAGUCGGCGGGGGAUAAGCUCCGUCGUCGAAAGGGAGACAGCCCAGAUCGUCGUCUAAGGUCCCCAAGCGCGUGCUAAGUGGGAAAGGAUGUGGAGUCGCAUAGACAGCCAGGAGGUUGGCUCAGAAGCAGCCACCCUUGAAAGAGUGCGUAACAGCUCACUGGUCUAGUGGUUCCGCGCCGACAAUGUAGCGGGGCUCAAGCACGCCACCGAAGACGCGGCAGCGUCCGUUUGGAUGCUGGGUAGGAGAGCGUCCCCAUCGGGGCGAAGCGGCGGCGCAAGCCUGCCGUGGACCGUUGGGGAGUGAGAAUGCAGACAUGAGUAGCGAGAGGCGGGUGCGAAUCCCGCCCGCUGGAUGACCAAGGGUUCCGGGGCCACGUUCGUCGUCCCCGGGUGAGUCGGGUCCUAAGGCGAGGCCGACAGGCGUAGUCGAAUGGAUGAACGGGCUGAUAUUCCCGUACCGGCAGCGAACCGAAACAACCGAGGCCUGGGGCGCUAACCUCCGGGUCCGUGCCGUCUCCCCUUUCGGGGGGUCGCGGCGCGGGCGCGUUGGGAUCCCCCUCGUAGUAGGUCAGCGCAGGAGUGACGCAUCAGGGCAGCCGGCCGCGGAGGUGGUUUUCCGUGGUCAAGCGUUCGAGCCCGUCCCGCAGGCAAAUCCGCGGGGCGUCGGGGCGAGGCGUGAUGAUGGGGGCCUUACGGCCCGAAUCCGGUGAUCCGUGGUGCCGAGAAAAGCUUCGGCGUCAGGCGCGUUGCCGCCCGUACCCCAAACCGACACUGGUGGUCAGGUAGAGAAUACCAAAGCGAUCGAGCGAAUCCUGGUCAAGGAACUCGGCAAAUUGCUCCCGUGCCUUCGGCAUAAGGGAGACCCCCUGCGGUGAUGAGCGGCGGGGGGUGGCACAGGCCAGGGGGUAGCGACUGUUUACCAAAAACACAGGAGCGUGCGAAGGCGCAAGCCGCUGUAUACGCUCUGACGCCUGCCCGGUGCCGGAAGGUUAAGAGGAUCCGUCAGCUUUCUGCGAAGCGGUGAAUUCAAGCCCCGGUAAACGGCGGUGGUAACUAUAACCAUCCUAAGGUAGCGAAAUUCCUUGUCGGGUAAGUUCCGACCUGCACGAAUGGCGUAACGACUUCCCCACUGUCUCGACCAGGAGCUCGGCGAAAUUGCAGUACGAGUAAAGAUGCUCGUUAAGCGCAGAAGGACGAGAAGACCCCGGGACCUUUACUAUACCUUGGUAUUGGCAUUAGGCGCGGAUUGUGUAGCAUAGGCGGGAGGCUUCGAGGCGGGUGCGCCAGCAUCCGCGGAGCCGCAAGGUGAAAUACCGCUCUGUUCUCGUUUGAUGUCUAACCUCGAACAGUCAUCCUGUUCAGGGACAGUGCCUGGCGGGUAGUUCAACUGGGGCGGUUGCCUCCCAAAGAGUAACGGAGGCGCUCAAAGGUCCGCUCGGCCCGGUUGGCAAUCGGGUGUCGAGUGUAAUCGCACAAGCGGGCUUGACUGCGAGAUCGACGGAUCGAGCAGGGACGAAAGUCGGAGAUAGUGAUCCGGUGCCGGCGCACGGGCGCGGCAUCG